GUUAUAUGGUCAAGUGAAGAAGCGCAUACGGUGGAUGCCUUGGCAGUCAGAGGCGAUGAAAGACGUGGUAGCCUGCGAAAAGCUUCGGGGAGUCGGCAAACAGACUUUGAUCCGGAGAUGUCUGAAUGGGGGAACCCAGCCAUCAUAAGAUGGUUACCUUACACUGAAUACAUAGGUGUAUGGAGCGAACCAGGGGAACUGAAACAUCUAAGUACCCUGAGGAAAAGAAAUCAACCGAGAUUCCCUUAGUAGUGGCGAGCGAACGGGGACUAGCCCUUAAGUGGCUUUGAGAUUAGCGGAACGCUCUGGAAAGUGCGGCCAUAGUGGGUGAUAGCCCUGUACGCGAAAAUCUCUUAGUCAUGAAAUCGAGUAGGACGGAGCACGAGAAACUUUGUCUGAAUAUGGGGGGACCAUCCUCCAAGGCUAAAUACUACUGACUGACCGAUAGUGAACUAGUACCGUGAGGGAAAGGCGAAAAGAACCCCGGAGAGGGGAGUGAAAUAGAUCCUGAAACCGUAUGCGUACAAGCAGUGGGAGCAGACUUUGUUCUGUGACUGCGUACCUUUUGUAUAAUGGGUCAGCGACUUAUUUUCAGUGGCGAGCUUAACCGAAUAGGGGAGGCGUAGCGAAAGCGAGUCUUAAUAGGGCGUCUAGUCGCUGGGAAUAGACCCGAAACCGGGCGAUCUAUCCAUGGGCAGGUUGAAGGUUGGGUAACACUAACUGGAGGACCGAACCGACUACCGUUGAAAAGUUAGCGGAUGACCUGUGGAUCGGAGUGAAAGGCUAAUCAAGCUCGGAGAUAGCUGGUUCUCCUCGAAAGCUAUUUAGGUAGCGCCUCAUGUAUCACUGUAGGGGGUAGAGCACUGUUUCGGCUAGGGGGUCAUCCCGACUUACCAAACCGAUGCAAACUCCGAAUACCUACAAGUGCCGAGCAUGGGAGACACACGGCGGGUGCUAACGUCCGUCGUGAAAAGGGAAACAACCCAGACCGUCAGCUAAGGUCCCAAAGUUAUGGUUAAGUGGGAAACGAUGUGGGAAGGCUUAGACAGCUAGGAGGUUGGCUUAGAAGCAGCCACCCUUUAAAGAAAGCGUAAUAGCUCACUAGUCGAGUCGGCCUGCGCGGAAGAUGUAACGGGGCUCAAACCAUACACCGAAGCUACGGGUAUCACCUUCGGGUGAUGCGGUAGAGGAGCGUUCUGUAAGCCUGUGAAGGUGAGUUGAGAAGCUUGCUGGAGGUAUCAGAAGUGCGAAUGCUGACAUGAGUAACGAUAAUGGGUGUGAAAAACACCCACGCCGAAAGACCAAGGUUUCCUGCGCAACGUUAAUCGACGCAGGGUUAGUCGGUCCCUAAGGCGAGGCUGAAAAGCGUAGUCGAUGGAAAACAGGUUAAUAUUCCUGUACUUCUGGUUAUUGCGAUGGAGGGACGGAGAAGGCUAGGCCAGCUUGGCGUUGGUUGUCCAAGUUUAAGGUGGUAGGCUGGAAUCUUAGGUAAAUCCGGGAUUCUAAGGCCGAGAGCUGAUGACGAGUNNNNNNNNNNNNNNNNNNNNNNUAACCAGGAACCGUACCCCAAACCGACACAGGUGGUUGGGUAGAGAAUACCAAGGCGCUUGAGAGAACUCGGGUGAAGGAACUAGGCAAAAUGGCACCGUAACUUCGGGAGAAGGUGCGCCGGUGAGGGUGAAGGACUUGCUCCGUAAGCUCAUGCCGGUCGAAGAUACCAGGCCGCUGCGACUGUUUAUUAAAAACACAGCACUCUGCAAACACGAAAGUGGACGUAUAGGGUGUGACGCCUGCCCGGUGCCGGAAGGUUAAUUGAUGGGGUUAGCUAACGCGAAGCUCUUGAUCGAAGCCCCGGUAAACGGCGGCCGUAACUAUAACGGUCCUAAGGUAGCGAAAUUCCUUGUCGGGUAAGUUCCGACCUGCACGAAUGGCGUAACGAUGGCGGCGCUGUCUCCACCCGAGACUCAGUGAAAUUGAAAUCGCUGUGAAGAUGCAGUGUAUCCGCGGCUAGACGGAAAGACCCCGUGAACCUUUACUAUAGCUUUGCACUGGACUUUGAAUUUGCUUGUGUAGGAUAGGUGGGAGGCUUUGAAGCGUGGACGCCAGUUCGCGUGGAGCCAACCUUGAAAUACCACCCUGGCAACUUUGAGGUUCUAACUCAGGUCCGUUAUCCGGAUCGAGGACAGUGUAUGGUGGGUAGUUUGACUGGGGCGGUCUCCUCCUAAAGAGUAACGGAGGAGUACGAAGGUGCGCUCAGACCGGUCGGAAAUCGGUCGUAGAGUAUAAAGGCAAAAGCGCGCUUGACUGCGAGACAGACACGUCGAGCAGGUACGAAAGUAGGUCUUAGUGAUCCGGUGGUUCUGUAUGGAAGGGCCAUCGCUCAACGGAUAAAAGGUACUCCGGGGAUAACAGGCUGAUACCGCCCAAGAGUUCAUAUCGACGGCGGUGUUUGGCACCUCGAUGUCGGCUCAUCACAUCCUGGGGCUGAAGCCGGUCCCAAGGGUAUGGCUGUUCGCCAUUUAAAGUGGUACGCGAGCUGGGUUUAGAACGUCGUGAGACAGUUCGGUCCCUAUCUGCCGUGGACGUUUGAGAUUUGAGAGGGGCUGCUCCUAGUACGAGAGGACCGGAGUGGACGAACCUCUGGUGUUCCGGUUGUCACGCCAGUGGCAUUGCCGGGUAGCUAUGUUCGGAAUAGAUAACCGCUGAAAGCAUCUAAGCGGGAAACUAGCCUCAAGAUGAGAUCUCACUGGAACCUUGAGUUCCCUGAAGGGCCGUCGAAGACUACGACGUUGAUAGGUUGGGUGUGUAAGCGCUGUGAGGCGUUGAGCUAACCAAUACUAAUUGCCCGUGAGGCUUGACCAUAUAACACCCAAGCAAUU
rnacentral:rRNA from 1 species